GUUAUACAAUAAAUAUUAAUUAAUAUUUUUGGUCUAUGUGAGUUAAUUUAUAUAUUUGAAUUUAAUAUAUUUAUUUUUAGGUGAAAUUUAAAUUUUUAUUAAUUUUAUUAAGAUUCUUUUAAGUAUAUAAUAUAAACUAGGAUUAGAUACCCUAUUAUAAUAUAUUUAAAUUUAUACCAGGGUAGUAUUAGUUAUGUUCUUUAAACCUAAAGAAUUUGGCGGUGUUUUAGUCUAUUUAGAGGAAUUUGUUCCUUAAUCGAUAGUCCUCGAUAUAUCUUGCUUAAUAUUUGUCUAUCAGUAUGUAUACCGCCGUUAUAAGUUUAUUUUAUGAAAAUUAAAAUUUACUUUAUUUUUAAUUAAAAUCUAUUUC
rnacentral:rRNA from 1 species